CGCAUGGUGGCGCGGUGCGGCGCGGCGCGGCGCGGGCGCGGAGCGUGGGAAGAGCGGGCGGAGCUCUCGGAAGCCAAGUCCGCAGCGUUGCGCCUCCCGCGGGUGGCUGCGCCGCGGGGCCGAGGUUGCUGUGCUGCGCCGGAAGCCACCGGCCGCCCAGAGAACUCAAAGAGUACAGCUCCAUCUGUAAGUAGGUGACAACCUCUUGGCAACUCGAGCUCAGCUGAGGAUGAUGUGUGUGCAUCUAAGCUGGUUAGAGCGGUCAGCUUACAUUUUUAUGGAACAGAAAAGAGGACCUGCUUGACCACUCUGCUUGCAGUAGGUAAGUAUUCAUCUUCAUUCCUGUGUAUUUUUUUCUGCUUUCAAAUAUGCAAAGUGAAUAAGUAUCUAUAGUCCUGGGCUGCUAUACCUCCUUCCUCUCCUAUGUACCCUCCCUUUGUCCUUCAGAAGGAAAGGUUGAAAUUUAGUGUUCAGCCACCAUAUAUCUCCCUUAGACUCCCACUUUAGAAGCCAGUCUUCUCAAAAAUGGAUCCAGUAGCCUUGUCCUUGGUGAAGAGUGGUAAUAGCCUUAUGAAGGACCCUGCUGUAUGUAGCUUGGGUUGAAGCUCCUAGCUGGUCAGCUGCAUGAGAAUGGUCCUUGCCAGCACUUGGUGCAGAUCUGCCAAGUUCUAGCUCCAAAUCUCUAAGCUGGUAGGAACCUCAACCAAAUAUAGCCUUGAGCUAAGCAGUUCUUAUCAGACGUGUCUACUCUUCCCCGUGGGAGAAGAAUGCUUCUAUCAUAACCACAAUGUGGAGAGUGAGUUAUCUCCAAGGCUGGAAGGUGUAUGUCCAUAUCAGGCUUGAGUCUGUCAAACUUACUCUUCUUUUUCCUAUUUCAGAUGCUGAUAGAUGACAGGUCAUGCUGGAUGAAGUUGCUGAGGUGGGAUGGCCAGUAGGAUGCCAUGUUUAGAAAAGGAAAGACUUGGGUACUCAAUAUGGCCAAAGGUGGUUAUGUCUUAUGUCAAAUAUCAGCUCCUAGUGUCUCCUCUGUUUCCUGCUUGACUUGCCCUGUUCAAGAAUAUCUUCUGACUUUUCUUCACUCUUUUGGAUCUUUUACUCUCUGUGCUUUCCUACACCCCUCUUCUUCCCUUUGAUUUUUUUUUUCUUUAGGAUGAAUGAGGACAUUCUCAGUUACUGGUCCAAAGUAACUGUUCUUUCUGUUUUGUAUCUUCACCUUCAUUUAGCAAGGCAGGUAGAGGAGGUUGUCCUGGGAAGGGAGGUGGGUGGUGAAUAAGCUCAUGGUGUUGGGUGCUGGAGCAUGGUAAGUUAGAUCGUCUUUUCUUUCUUUAGGUAAUCUUGAGCCACCAAUUUGUGUGGUUCCGUGACCUCAGGUGUGGUCUGAUGCAACAUGGACCUAGUCUUGUUGGUGGAUUAAUAUCAGGCUAUUGAUUAGAAACUAGAAGCAACAAAGGAAAGGCUUGAGCUUGCCUCCCAUGUAGCUGGAGUGUGGCUGCUCCCUGGAUCUGUUCCUUGAAACUUUACCAUUGAGAACCUCCAACAGUUGUCCUUUUUUCCAUUCUUCCAUUCCUGAUUUUUCUAUGAAUGGAAUGAGUAACUGGCGGAGUCCUGGUAUAAGGUCAGCCUGCUCAACUAGCUAGGCUGUGAGAUAUUUGGGAGAUAUCUGGGUAGCACUGUAGACAGUGUGUGGCCGUACCAGGGCACCUUUGCUUCCUACAGUCAGAGAAAGGAAGCUUCUUUGCUGCUGACAUCUAACCUGAGCUUAUUCUGGGUUAUCGUUCCCCUUUCAAUCCCUAAGAUCCUGGGAGCUGCCCAGGGCUCAAGCAUGCUCUUUCCUGUGCAGAGUGUUUAUUUGCCUUACUCUGGACACACUGAGCCUUUAAGGGGCUUAGGCUAGGUCUGGGGUCUAAAGCUUAGGCUAAGGAGUGACUGGAUUCUGAAUUUUUCUCUACUUGGGAUUUUCCUUUGAAUGAAUCAUUUUCUUCUUUCGGCCUUCAGUUGUCUUCAGAAUAUCUCCAGGCACUUGACAGGGAAAAUCUUCUCCUGCUUUACCGCCAGAGCAGUAUUGAGUUAAAGUGAUGGUGUCCCUCAAAACUGGGAAGACAGCUCCAUUGCAGACACAAACCAGAAAGCAGACAGCAGGUGCUUGCUGGGAUACUCAGAAUUCCCUGUCUAUCAUUGCUGGCAGUGUUCUUGGCCCCUAGGGCUAGUGGGAACUAACUAACAGCCAGAUGUCUAGGGUCUAAGGAGAAAAGGAAUAAUCCUGGCUAAUUCUACUGGGUACCUGUGGAAUCUCAAUGCCAGCUAGCCCAUGCAGCUACUCUGCUGGCAUGGUGUAGAUGUGUUUCACCUUCCCUGCCCCUCCCACUACUGUCCAAGGAAGAUUAAUGAAUCCCAUCUCACAUGUUUAAUUGUCUUGUGUCUCCCUUUGGGACAAGCCUCUGAGAUCCCUGGCAAGAACAGUCAAUUUGGAUGAGUUAUCUGUUAUUUCAAGGAGCUGAACCAGUUCAUUUUACUGCCUCAGUGGUGUGUGAGGGUCAGCUGGGGGUGGGGGUAAAAGGGCUGAAGUUUGAAUAAAGAGUUAAGUUCAGUUGGCUUUACA
rnacentral:lncRNA from 1 species